rnacentral:rRNA from 1 species
GACGAACGCUGGCGGUGUGCUUAACACAUGCAAGUCGGACGAUGAAGCUGGAGCUUGCUCCAGUGGAUUAGUGGCGAACGGGUGAGUAACACGUGAGCAAUCUGCCCUUGACUCUGGGAUAACUGCGGGAAACUGUAGCUAAUACCGGAUACGACACCUUGGGGCAUCCCGGGGCGUGGAAAGAAUUUCGGUCAAGGAUGAGCUCGCGGCCUAUCAGCUUGUUGGUGAGGUAAAGGCUCACCAAGGCGACGACGGGUAGCCGGCCUGAGAGGGUGACCGGCCACACUGGAACUGAGACACGGUCCAGACUCCUACGGGAGGCAGCAGUGGGGAAUAUUGCACAAUGGGCGAAAGCCUGAUGCAGCAACGCCGCGUGAGGGAUGACGGCCUUCGGGUUGUAAACCUCUUUUAGCAGGGAAGAAGCGAAAGUGACGGUACCUGCAGAAAAAGCACCGGCUAACUACGUACCAGCCGCCGCAGUAA